rnacentral:rRNA from 1 species
CCUACGGGAGGCAGCAGUGAGGAAUAUUGGUCAAUGGACGAGAGUCUGAACCAGCCAAGUAGCGUGAAGGAUGACUGCCCUAUGGUUUGUAAACUUCUUUUAUAUGGGAAUAAAACGUUCCACGUGUGGGAUUUUGUAUGUACCAUAUGAAUAAGGAUCGGCUAACUCCGUGCCAGCAGCCGCGGUAAUACGGAGGAUCCGAGCGUUAUCCGGAUUUAUUGGGUUUAAAGGGAGCGUAGGUGGAUUGUUAAGUCAGUUGUGAAAGUUUGCGGCUCAACCGUAAAAUUGCAGUUGAAACUGGCAGUCUUGAGUACAGUAGAGGUGGGCGGAAUUCGUGGUGUAGCGGUGAAAUGCUUAGAUAUCACGAAGAACUCCGAUUGCGAAGGCAGUUCACUAGACUGCAACUGACACUGAGGCUCGAAAGUGUGGGUAUCAAACAGGAUUAGAUACCCGGGUAGUC